rnacentral:tRNA from 1 species
GACCCCUUCGUCCAGAGGCCUAGGACACCGGCCUUUCACGCCGGCAACACGGGUUCGAAUCCCGUAGGGGUCAC